rnacentral:rRNA from 1 species
AUUGAACGCUAGCGGGAUGCUUUACACAUGCAAGUCGAACGGCAGCGCGGACUUCGGUCUGGCGGCGAGUGGCGAACGGGUGAGUAAUGUAUCGGAACGUGCCCAGUAGCGGGGGAUAACUACGCGAAAGCGUAGCUAAUACCGCAUACGCCCUACGGGGGAAAGCAGGGGAUCGUAAGACCUUGCACUAUUGGAGCGGCCGAUAUCGGAUUAGCUAGUUGGUGAGGUAACGGCUCACCAAGGCGACGAUCCGUAGCUGGUUUGAGAGGACGACCAGCCACACCGGGGACGGGACACCGCCCCGAGCCCCUCGGGGGGGACGCGGGGGGAAAUUUUGGCAAAUGGGGGAAACCCUGACCCGGCCACCCCGGGGGGGGGAUGAAGGCCUUCGGGUUGAAAAGCACUUUUGGCAGGAAAAAAACGUCGCGGGCUAAUACCCCGGGGAACUGCCGGUCCCUGAAGAAUAAGCCCCGGCUAACUCCGU